rnacentral:rRNA from 1 species
UACAGAGGUGGCAAGCGUUGUUCGGAAUUACUGGGCGUAAAGGGCGCGUAGGCGGUUCGAUAAGUCCCGUGUGAAAUCCCUCGGCUCAACUGAGGAACUGCACGGGAAACUGACGGGCUUGAGUUCGGGAGAGGGAAGCGGAAUUCCGGGUGUAGCGGUGAAAUGCUUAGAUAUGACAUAGAACACCCAUUGCGAAGGCAGCUUACUACACGAUCAUUGACGCUGAGGCACGAAAGCGUGGGGAGCAAACAGG